GAUGAACGCUAGAGACGCACAUAACACAUGCAAGUUAAUGAUAUAUAUAAUUUAUUAUAUACAUCAUAGCGAACUGGUGAGUAAUAAAUGAGAAUUAAAAUAUAGGUCAGGCAUAAAUUUUUUAAUUCCUGUUAAGCGCAUAGUGCUAAAAAAGGUUUUAUUACCGCCUAUAACCGAGCUCAUAUCUGAUUAGCUAGUUGGUAAGGUAAAGGCUUACCAAGGCGAUGAUCAGUAGCUGGCCUGAGAGGGCGAUCAGCCACAUUGGGAUUGAGAUACAGCCCAAACUCUUA
rnacentral:rRNA from 1 species